CAAAAAAAGUAGGUGUGGUGGCACGUGCCUGUGGUCCCAGCUACCCAGGAGGCUGAGGCAGGAGGACUGCUUGAAUCUAGGAGGCAGGUGUUGCAAAGAGCUGGGGUUACGCACUGUACUCCAGCCUGGGUGACAGAGUGAAACUUCUGUCUCAAAAAAAAAAAAAAAAGAUAGCAAUUUAUAUUUCCAUUAUAUUUUCAGCCCUGGUAUAUAGGAGUAUGUGUUUUGCCAAACACUGGCCAGCUCUGUAGAGACAUGUUACAAAAUCUAUGUCACAUCGAUUGUUUAAAACUAAUAUUGUACUGUUAUUUCAAUUUACUUUAAAAACUUUACAGUUGAACAUUUUUCUUAAUAUGUUUAUUGGCAGAGUCUUUUCAUAAUUGUCUAUUUAAUCUCUUAGAUCUUUUUAAUUUUCAGGCUUGCUGAGAACUUAUGCAUCAUUCUGUAAAGUGCUUUACAUAUAUUAUCUCCUUUCAUUUGGAUGACUGCUGUAAUUGGGAGGUGUUGAAAGUUCCCAUUUAUAAAUUGGAAAUAAAAGUUUACCAUGUAACUGACCCCAAAUUAUAGAGCAAGCAGCAAGAAUCUAGAACCAUUAUGUCUCUAUCAAAGAGAAAAAUCACACUGGACAAGAUGGACAGACAGAAGUUGAUGUUAUUGCCAACAAUAGAGGAGAGACCACCAAGUGUAGAUUCCCUGUUUCAGUAAGAAAAAAAGUCUGGAGAAUUUUUAAGAACUAGGGUAGGGGGCUGACAGGUUACCUGUGUUUGCUAAUUCUUUUGCCCAAAGGAAAAGUAAAUGUUCUUAUAUCUUCAUGGCAGGAGGUAGUUUGACAACUUGGAGCAAGGCUCCAGUCAAAGUUGGCUUCUACCCUCUCAUAGAAGCUAAGAGAAAGGGCAGUAUCUUCUGUGAUGAUUACAUUUGGAAGAGUUGGUUCCCAGAUCCUUGAGAAAGACAGACAGCCAUGGGUUGUAAAACUGGCAAGAGGCUUUAAAAAUCUUUACAUCUCAAAAGGGCAGAGAGAGAAUGUACAAUUAAAUUGCUCUUACCGCCCCCAACCAAAAAAAAUUGCUCAAAGGAAAGGAAGGUUAGGAUCUAGAGUCAGGAAGAAACCUGAGUAAAGUUUAGUCAAGCAUUCAUAAUACAUUUUGAUAUUCAAAGAAAUUAAUGCUCAUUCGUCAUAAUUAUUACAAAUAAUUUUUUAAAAAUAUAUUUUACUUUAUAAUUUAGUAAAUUUUAUAGCACUAGCAAUCUAUAGUUGUUAUAGAAAAAUGAUAAAACCUUCAGUGACAAAAACUAUACUAGUUAUGUAUAUGAGAUAUAUAUAAAUGUAUGUGUUAUAUGAAUGAACAAGACUUUUUAAAUAUUAUUCCUUGUAAACAAACACUUCUAUAAUGUCAUCCUAAAUUUCAUCGUGACACUUUAUCAGUGUUUAAUUAUUUUUAAGCAAACUUUACUGGUUCACAUAGAUUGGUGUCGACCUAGUCAUAACUGUGUAGAUGCCACACGCUAUUCCAGAAAAAAAACUUUAAUUUUGCAUAAUAACGUAUUAUUGUUAUUCUUUAUUACAUGCAACACUGUACAAAUAGAUGCUUAUCUCCUUACAAUGGGGUUACUUCCUAAUAAACCUGUUGUAAGUUGAAAAUAUAAUGUCAAGAAUGCAUUUAGUAAACCUAACCUACAAAGCCUCAUAGAUUAGCCUAGCCUACCUUAAACAUACUCAGCACAAUUCCAUCAGCCUACAGUUGGGCAAAAUCAUUUGGCAGCAUAGUACACUGCAGACAUCGACUGUUUACCCUCAUGAUUGCCUGGCUAGCUGGAAGCUUUGACUCGCUGCUAUGGUCUAGCAUCACUAGAGAGGAUUGUAGAGCACAUUGCUAGCCCAGAAAAAGAUCAAAAUAAAAUUCUAAGUAAGGUUUCUACUAAAUGUGUCUCACUUUCACACUAUCAUAAAGUAGAAAAAUCAAACCAUUGUUUAGUUGGGGAUCCUCCGUAUAUCGUGGGUAAUUUGCAUGUAAUCCUCUAAAGAGCCCUAAGGGUAAGGUACUAUUUUCAUCUCUAUCUUUCAUAUAGGAAAAUUUAAUCACAGAGAUAUUAAGUUAUUCCCCUAGAGUCACACAGCUAGUAAAACAAUUCUGCAGAAUAACUUUUAAUUAGUAAGCCUGCCAAACAUAGGUCAUACAUUAAAUGAAAACAGCUGAUUGAAAAGUGAUAAAUAUGAUAAGAUCCUAUUCUUAAAAAACUAAUUUAGAUAGAUCUAUAAAGUAUAAAAGGUUACAAAUCAAGAUCUGAACAGUGCUUCUCUCUGUUGAUAAACAUUUUGUUUUCUCACUUUUGUUAAUUAUUAUUUAAGCAUGGAAUGCACUUAUAUUUAUUUUUGAAAAUGGAUGAUUGAUGAAUCUUCAUUCACUGAAUACUAAAACACAGCAAAUUUAUAUAAAACAAACCAAGAAAGAUGUACCUAGAAUAUGAAGAGUUAUAGAUUUAUGGACACCAUCUGCUGCAACUUUUUCAGUAUUUGAACAUUUAAGAAAAAAAAUUAAGCUCUUAGAAGCUUUGAAUAUGAUGAACAAGCUUGAUCUAAAAUAUGCGUGAGUUAGCUCCCUACAAUGAUCUGAAAUCUAGACAUUCUCUAGAAAUUGCCUCUUUAGCCAAAGAGGAUAUUGUAAGUUGCACUACAAACUACUUGGUGAUAGCAAGGAAUAUUUGGUUCAAAAUUAGGCAUAAUGAUUCCCAUUGCAACGUGUCUUCAUUUUAUCAUAGACUUUUGUAAUAAAAAUAUUUUUAAAAACAGAUUUUUCUUUAAGGAAAAAAUAACAAUGCAUUAAAAUAUUUGAUUUUGAAUAGGGUGUGGUUUCCUAAGGAAUUUGAAUGACACUGGGUAGUCUUUGAAGAAUCAUUGAUGUUUAGGAAUACUUUUGUCUUCUGGGAGAAGAAUGUUGGCAUUUUCAGAGUUAGGCUUCAGGAAGAACACUCUAUCAACUGCAUGUAGGAGGAGAAACUGGGGACCGGAAUACCACACAGAAGAUCAUGAUAACAAUUGAUUAGCAAGAGGGAUAAUACGUGCUAGGACUUCAAAGCAGAUGAAAACAAAUAUAGGGCAGAAGAAAACUAGGAAGGAUGCUUAGGGGUGCCGGGAUGAAGGGAAAGGUAGGGUGGCACAUCACAGCACCAGGUCCCAGGAAAACGUAGGGAGGUACAUCACAGCAACAGGAUUUCAGGAAAACGUAGGGAGGUACAUCACAGCAGCAGGUCUCAGUAAAAGGUAGGGAGGCACAUCCCAGCCCCAUGUCCCAGGGAAAGGUAGGGAGGCACAUCCCAGCACCAGGUCCCAGGAAAAGGUAGGGAGACACAUAACAGUAACAGGUCCUAGGAAAAGGUAGGGGGGCACAUCCCAGAAUCAAG